UACGAAGGGGGCUAGCGUUGCUCGGAAUCACUGGGCGUAAAGCGCACGUAGGCGGCUUUCUAAGUCAGGGGUGAAAUCCUGGAGCUCAACUCCAGAACUGCCUUUGAUACUGGCGAUCUCGAGUCCGGGAGAGGUGAGUGGAACUGCGAGUGUAGAGGUGAAAUUCGUAGAUAUUCGCAAGAACACCAGUGGCGAAGGCGGCUCACUGGCCCGGUACUGACGCUGAGGUGCGAAAGCGUGGGGAGCAAACA
rnacentral:rRNA from 1 species